CAGGGACAGCGCCUAUUUAGCUAGUGGAGUGACGUGCUAGGACGAUUUUUUGGCAGCUGUCUAGUGCCGAUUUCUGCCAGUGCUUUUUGUUUUUCUUCAUCCGCCACUGAAACAAAAUGUCUCAACGGUUCAUAACUGAUUUUAUAAGGAUCGACAGACAAAUUUACAAUUUGCAAAUUCAAGUCCGCCACACACGGUCAUGUCUAAACACGUCAAGCCUCUCAUCCCAAACGGCCUGAUAACCAUUCUGUCAGGCUUCAGUCGAGCAUACCUAAGAAAGAGGCCAACUGACCUAGGGCUAUUUGCCAUGUACUACUGUAUGGAACUGCGGAAAUACAGAGAUGGUAUAUUAGCUCACCAUGGUCCCACAGAGACAAAAAUAUGACUGAUUACGUAGUGUACAGUGCAUUUUAUCAUGUAUUAAGCGUUCUGUAGAAAUACAUCUGAUCAAGAUUUAAUUUGUUUUGUAAUGCAGAAAUAGCGACCUAUUCACCAAACAAGCUGGUGAAAGAUUUUCAUAAACAUAGAGCCGAGAGACUCUGUGACAAUGCCUAUGAAGAGGAACUGUUGAAGUAUGGAUACAAAGUGACCUCUAAGGAGGAUGUGACGUUUAAUGCCCUGGAGAUCACAUCUCAGGACCUGCAAAUACUAGGCAGUAGUGAGAGACAGAUCAACAGACGGUACUCGACCACCACUAGCCCAUGUGGAGAACAAGUGAACAAUAUUACAGCUCCAUCCGCCAUGGACCUGCAGGUGAACCAAACCCUGGGUUCUGCAGCUAUGGAGCUAGGGGCACUGGUUGGCAACAUUGUACCCACAACAUCAUCAAGCCCUUUUCAACCAACCAACAAUAACGCCAACACCCAACACGUGGCACAUGCAUCCUCCCAGGCAGUAGCAGGUCUGGCAUCCACUGAGAACAAGACUGGUGAAGUUGCUUCACAAGUCAAACCUGGCUCAGCAGAGAUAUUCGCCAGCAGCAGCUGCGAGGCCAGUAUUUCUGGACAGGCCUGUGUUCCCCAGCAUUACACACCCACCAGCCAGGAGGGGGGGUAUGCCUGUGCCGCCAUGCCCACAGAGAUACCCUGCUACCCCAGAUUUCCCCAGAAUUACCCGACAUACCCUCCACCACCACCCUACCUCCCAGGCUUUCAUCCUUAUUAUUUGGACCUCAUGUCUGGCCAAUAUGUCCAGCCGUCCUGCAGAUGCCAGCGAUAUGGCAGAGUGGUAUAUCGUCCCCCUGGUCAGCCAGUGCUGCCCCAGUGCCACCAUGCCGCUCCACUGCCAGUGCCGCAGUGCACUCACCAGCACCUCAGCCCUUCUGCAAGCUGCAUUCAAGUGGCUCCAACCAUGGGGCCCUCCUGCCCCUCUGGAUUGCAGAGCCCUUUCUCACGGUGCAUCCCUGUGCCUGUCCUCGCCAACCACUUUGGCUCUCUUUACUACAGGCCCAAGCAGAGACCCAGGAUGGCCACAGGUGUGCCUGGCUGCAGGAGCGAGUGCCUACCCACAUCCAGACGGCUCAACUGCACUUCCUGCAACGUGAGUGACAGCUCUAGCUAUGCGCCAGAGCCCGCCGCCCAGGCCUCCUAUCAUGGAGGAUAUCGAGGACAGUGUGGGGGUGACGCCAUCCAUGGACCAGUCCCUGCCGGUGCACUAAGGUCCCUGUAUGCCCCUGUGCCGUGCCCCAUUGGACUGCAGAGAAGGGAUGCCCCGGCUCAGCGACCAGGCAGCGCCCCGACUAGGAGGGUUGUUCCAUUGACCACGCAGAACCAGAAUAGCCCGUUCCCAUCCUCAUAAGGGACAGGUUUGGAACAAGUUAUUCUGUGAAUGGAUAGCUGCAAAUUAUUUGAUUGAAUUUAAUCUUAUUAAGUCUUCAGUUUGACACAAUUUUGCCUUGAAGCUUUUGUUAAUUGGUAGUAUAAUUAAAC
rnacentral:lncRNA from 1 species